rnacentral:rRNA from 1 species
AGAGUUUGAUCCUGGCUCAGGAUGAACGCUAGCGACAGGCUUAACACAUGCAAGUCGAGGGGCAGCGAGGGAGUGGCAACACUUCUGUCGGCGACCGGCGCACGGGUGAGUAACGCGUAUGCAACCUGCCCUUCACAGGGGGAUAACCGGGAGAAAUUCCGACUAAUACCGCAUACGUCCUCCGGGGGCAUCCCCGGGGGAUGAAAGAAUUAUCGGUGAAGGAUGGGCAUGCGUGAUAUUAGGUAGUUGGCGGGGCAACGGCCCACCAAGCCCACGAUAUCUAGGGGUUCUGAGAGGAAGGUCCCCCACAUUGGUACUGAGACACGGACCAAACUCCUACGGGAGGCAGCAGUGAGGAAUAUUGGUCAAUGGACGAGAGUCUGAACCAGCCAAGUAGCGUGAAGGAUGAAGGUCCUACGGUUUGUAAACUUCUUUUAUAAGGGAAUAAACCCUCCCACGUGUGGGAGCUUGUAUGUACCCUAUGAAUAAGCAUCGGCUAACUCCGUGCCAGCAGCCGCGGUAAUACGGAGGAUGCGAGCGUUAUCCGGAUUUAUUGGGUUUAAAGGGAGCGCAGGCUGCGAGGCAAGUCAGCGGUCAAAUGUCGGGGCUCAACCCCGGCCUGCCGUUGAAACUGUCUUGCUAGAGUUCGAGUGAGGUAUGCGGAAUGCGUUGUGUAGCGGUGAAAUGCAUAGAUAUGACGCAGAACUCCGAUUGCGAAGGCAGCAUACCAACUCGCGACUGACGCUGAGGCUCGAAAGCGUGGGUAUCGAACAGGAUUAGAUACCCUGGUAGUCCACGCAGUAAACGAUGAAUACUAACUGUUCGGAGGGCGACCUCUGAGUGGUAAAGCGAAAGCGUUAAGUAUUCCACCUGGGGAGUACGCCGGCAACGGUGAAACU